GGUUGAUGGGUCACAAAGACCUGGUGGACCAGAUGGACCCUUUGGACCGGCUGCUCCCGGGACGCCGGGGCUUCCUUGUUCGCCACGUUCUCCAUCCUUGCCAUCUUUACCGAUGCCGGGAGCACCUGGAAUACCUAAGCUCCAGGGUCACCUACAAAAAGGAGCCAGUUGAUUGGGAUCUACCCAAGUCUUUGGGUUAUCUCAAUCCUGACCUUUCUUUCCCGGUGAACCUGGCAUGCCAAAGUAGCCCGGAUGGCCUUUGACCCCCAUGGGCCCUUGAGCUCCCGGUGGUCCCGGAGCACCGUCAGCUCCAGCAGGGCCCGGUGGUCCCGCUUGUCCUGGGACGCCUGGAGCUCCCAAUGCAGCGGGUCUCUUUAGGAAAUCUUUCAUGAAUUCUCCUAAUUGUUCUGCAAAGUCCAGAAUAUGGAACAAGUCAAUUUGUGCCACCAUUUCAAGUCAAAACGUACAAACUAACCUUCAACCACAGCCGAGCACAUUUCCCGAAGGUUGUCAUCGCUAACUCUUGGGCCCUGUGAGGAGUUCAUAAAUGUGGAUAAGCACAUUUUAUUUUGAAAAGCAACUUCCGGUAGAGUCAGCAGGCGCAACGCUUACAGGCAGACCUCUGGGACCCGGUGCCCCAGGUGAACCCGGCUCUCCCUCCAGCCCUCGGGAUCCCAUUGGACCAGCCACGCCCAAAUGGCCUGGCCGACCCGGUCUACCUUCUGGUCCGGUUGCUCCUCUGUCGCCCUUUGUUCCAUACUGAGUCGAACAGUGUAAAUCAAAGCCAGUCCACUCUGGUUAUAAACAUGAAAAAAAUAUUUAUACCUCUCCUUUAAUUCCAGGAAUUCCAGGUGGACCCUGAUGGAGAGAUGCUAGGUUUAAUGUUUCAUUCAAACCAAUGAAGCCACAAUACAAAACAUACCUGAUCUCCCUUGACUCCAGGAUCUCCGGGAAGACCUGUAGCUCCCUGAAUCAUACGUUUUAGUCAUUAAAUACAAAUAAUAUGUUUGCAAUAGAGGUAAACAUACCAAACUUCCUUUUGGUCCCUCUGGUCCCAUCGGCCCCUAUCGACAGAACUUUAAUCAAUACUUUUGUUUGCUUCGUGGCAUUUUAGUAAGAAGAUCAUCCAACCUGA